CUUAUUACUUUCCAUUGUUUGUAUACCAGGCGACCAUAAUUUUUUGUAAGACUUGUUUCACAUCCUAAAAUCUCUCCUUGUCUUCUUUCCUUUUAUUUAUGAGGUGGUGAGGUGAUUAUCCUUCCUUUUGUGUUUGACAUCCUAAAAUCUUUCCUUUUGGUUGUGAGGUUAUUAUCCUUCCUUUUGUGUAUGACAUCCUAAAAUCUCUCCUUGUCUUUCCUUUAGUUUGUGAGGUGAUGAGGUGAUUAUUCUUCCUUUUGUGUUUGACAUCCUAAAAUCCCUCCUUAUCUUUCCUUUUGAUUGUGAGGUGAUGAGGUGAUUAUCCUUCCUUUUGUGUUUGACAUCCUACAAUCUCAUUCUCUUUCCUUUUGGUUGUGAGGUGAUUAUCCUUCCUUUUGUGUGCUGAUGAUUGUCAUGUGUAGGGCCGUGUUCUUUCCUUUUUGCUCUCGCGAUAGCACAUUUGCUCUUGCCUCCUCGCCGUCGAGGCAUUUCUUGACGGCCGGGUAACUCCCUGAGGCGAUCUGUCGGCCGGCUUCCAUCCGUUGAUAGCCCAGGAAGAGCAAGGUUCUAGCUCUGGCAAGCCAUAUGUGGCGAGUGCAAUCCCUGGCCUCUCACUAUCGAGGCAGAUUUUUGCGGCUUGACGGCCGUAGCUUCCUCCCUGAGGCAAGGUCAUAGCUCUCUCCCUCGGCGAUCAGGCAAACCUCACGGCCAGAUCUAGCGAGUGCAAAGAUAGAAGGGCUAAAGCCGUAGGCGCACUCAAGGGUUCCGUACAAUGGAUGGUCGUUCCCCUCUCGGCGACAUCACGAACACCUGCAACCGUCGCAAGCGACAAAACCCUAAAGGGUCUAAUAUCCAAGAUAACAAUCAUGAUAAUCUUUUAUCUCAAAUUAUAUGUUUUUAUAUAAUAAUGGUUUGAUUAAUCUUGUUGCAUUAUACAUAAGCAUCGUCUGUGGUUCUAGGUGUUCCUGCUAGAGUAGAUCUUGAUAAGAGGGAACUUAAAUGCCAGAAGGCAAGGGAGAGGUAUGCAAACUUGCCGGCUGAAAAAAAAGAAAGCAGAGCUUAAUGCUAAGAGGAGGGAAGCCUACCAUUGAAAAAAGGCCGAUAGAACAGAUACUAACAUCAGUGUGUGACGUUCUUGCUCAACCGUACAAAUACAAAAAAGAUGUCAAGGGACAGCAUGAGAUUGUGAGCAAUGGAGCAACAAUAGACAGUUUUGAUGAUAGUUGGCUGCGUCGCAACGAUUCUUUUGAAAGGACACAAAUGGAGAAUAUCAUUGCUCCAUAACCCAUUAUCGUCUGUUCUAUCAGUAUUGUCUUGCAUAGAGCACAAAAUGGAAAAAGCAAGAGAAAGAUCAAGCAAAUGGUACCAUAUGAUGACGGAUGCGCAAAAGGCUAAGAGGAAUGCUAAAAAUGAACAAGUGGAGGUAGAAAAAUUGAUGGUACUGGUGCAAGUGUUGUCUCCAGCAAAGAUACAACAGAUGUUAUGUGUGUCACACCAUUUAGCACUGCUGCAUCUGGAGUUUAUGAUGAAAUUACUUCGGAAGAGUUGAAAGAGAGAAGGACAAAAGAAGAUAUUUUGAAAUGGCGGCAAGACAUGAAAAGAUAUUGAAAGCUAUUGAGUGUCGCAAGCAAAAAAAAUAUACCCAACCAAGGUAAAGAGAUAGGUAAACCUGUUACUGGGACCUUAUAGCCUGCAUUAACGCAACAACAGUCAAAUCGAGAAUCAGGUUGUGCACUGUAAAUGUGGAUCGAGAAGAUCAGUUUGACCCGGCUUUAUGGGAACAAGAUGAUCCAAUGCAUAGGGUUGAAGAGAAUGAUUUAGACCAAAUAAACCUAGAGGAUCAUGGAAUGGAGAAUUUGGAAGAUGAUGAAGCAUGUGUAUUUCAUAUUAGAGAUUUUGAGUAUGAAUAUGCUGUAGAUCCUGAUACGGGCUCCAAAGGUUCGGAUUCAUAUGAUGUAGUGUACAAAGAUCUUCCAAAAAAAUACCGUACCCUCAAAAAGGCUAAAAACUGUGAAUUCUGCCAUGCAAAGAGGUACCCAGAUGAAGGACCCGCCUUCUGUUGUAAGAAAGGAAAGGUUAACAUAUAUAUGCCAGAGUUACCGGCUGAACUGUGCCGAUUGUUUGCAAGUCGACCGAUAAGGAUGCAAAGUAUUUUCAAAAGCAGAUUCAAUAUUUUAACUCGCACUUCUCCUUCACAAGCUUUGGAGUUUCCAUUGAUCAUAAUCUUAUGUCUGCUUGAGGUACUCGUGUUUAUUAUUUUAAAGCACAAGGUAACAUAUAUCAUAGAUUGGAUCAGCUUGUGCUUGGUGGGAAUGAGUCUCGCUAUAUGCAGCUAUACUUUUAUGACACUGAUGAGACCAUUGCACAUAGGGUGAAAAAAUGGCCUAAGCUUGAUACUACACUGAUCCAGUUGAUUUUGGGAAUUGUACAAGACAAACCAUAUAUGCUUCUAUUCGAGAGUCUCGGUUUAGUUUCUAAUAUUGCAGAGUACAAAAUUGAACUUAAUACUAGCGUAUCUAUUGAUCAGAGGAGAUAUAACGCACCUGGGAUGGAUCAGGUUGCUGCCAGAACAGACUCCCCAAAAUCAACCUGAUGUUGUUGCAAGGGUGUAUCAUGCUAAAUUACUCGACCUGCAUGUUUUUUUAUUAAAAAAUCAUCUUGGCAAGGUUGCUGCAUGGACGCAUGUGACAGAGUUUCAAAAGAGAAGUCUGCCACACCAGCAUUUUCUAUUGUAGACGUGAUUGGUGCCGUGUGCCAUAUAGGUCUUUUGUACCACUCCAUAUGGCUCCUCCUCUUCAUGGAUCAAGAGAGGUGGCAAUUAAGGACACAAGGUCAUGGACUUGGAUGAUAACAACCUCGGGUUCUUCAUGGAGGCUUGUGGACAAUAUCAAUGUCUGAUGGGCACGUGCAUCUCCACCACCGCAAACGCAAAGAGGGAGACCGCGCUCCUCUCUCCCUCCGGGCAACGCCCAUGGCGUGCACAUGGUGCCCCGGAACCCUCGUGAACGUCAACGCCACGUGGUGGGCAGCGGCGCGCGUUCAUCCCAGUUUUUAGCGAAGGCAAAAGAAUAAUCACGCAAGCUGGAGAAAAGGAAUGAUCGCGCCUACGGUUGGAAAUACAUUGUGAGAAAGCGGGUGAUCAUGCUGUAACCGUCUGCAGGCUGAGAAAACUGACCACUGGAUUGUUAAAAAG